UAUUAUUAUGUGGCAAAAAAGGGAAGUUGAAAGUCUAGAGGAUACCGGUCUGACUGCCUAUGCAAUAGAUAAACAUACAUUGCAGAUGAGAGUUACACUCGAAGUCGAAGGGUUGGAUGGAACUUGACUUAUGCAAAAUUGCGAGACAUCAAAUUAUGGGCUAGAGCCAACAAUACCUCCGAUCGACCUCAAUUCGUGCCCUAUGUAAUAAAAUCAAAGUUAUGAUUCUGAUCAAAGAAAAAGCUAAAAAGGUAACUUAUCCAAACAUGAUGGAAUUUUUUGAGUUCCUUGGAGUUGAUACGGAGAUCUCUGAUAUGUCAUUCUCAGUGAGCUUAGACCAAGGUUGUGGUUACGAAUGGAGAACCCAAAAUCGAUUCUCUAGUUCGUUUGCAUAUGAGAAGAAUGUCUUGAAUCGAUAUUUUUGGCAAAUGAUUAGAGAGAUUAGCAGAUUCAAGCAGGAUGCCAUAAGGUACCAAUAACUUAUUUAUAACAAUCCUGACAUUGAUCGCGAUGAAACAUUAGGGCAAUUUAUUGAGUCACAUGGCUAUUUGGAGCUAUUUCAGAAGGCUUAUCUGCUCUUUGGUCUCCCUCAAUUGCUUACUAUUAGAUGGUGAUCACAUAUAACCAAGUGCCCUAGCAUGUUGUAUCAUAGCUUGCAAUGAUGGUGUCAAAGAAGUUUUUGAUGGAUGCAUAAUGGCAGAACAUGCACCAAAUACUCUGAAAAUGUUGGGCAAAGAGGCAACAUACGAUGAAACAAGAAUACCGGGUGCUUUCCAGUAUGUCUAUAGGUACUUUCGUCUCCUUUUUUUUUGAACACCUGGGCUUCUUUUCUCUUUAAUCUUUUUCGGAAUUUCAUCCAUAGACUACCAUCUUCUUGAAAAAUUCUUUUUAACGUAUUUAGUUGGUCGAUUGGACCAUAGUCUUAAUAAGAUUCAUGAUCUUUCAAAAUCAUUUUCUCUUCCUCUACGACACCGAUAUUUUCCUUCAUCGUGACAAAACAUUCCUGCCGCGCAACCCGGCAAGACGAUGAAGUGCUUGUAACUUUCUUGGAACCAUGAAUAGUAGAGGAUGUGCGACAUAUUGGCUCAAUAUUAUCCAGGUGUUUAUGCAAUACAUGUUGAUUUAGGACCUUCUAUAGAAACUAGAAGAUAAUGCUCUUCUAUGAGGAGUCUUUUCUUCUUGUACCGCUCUCUUAAUU